rnacentral:misc_RNA from 1 species
GAUGAAGAACGCAUCGAAAUGCGAUACGUAAUGUGAAUUGCAGAAUUCAGUGAAUCAUCGAAUCUUUGAACGCACAUUGCGCCCCCUGGUAUUCCGGGGGGCAUGCCUGUCCGAGCGUCAUUACAACCCUCAAGCUCAGCUUGGUGUUGGGCCCCGCCGCCCCGGCGGGCCCUAAAGUCAGUGGCGGUGCCGUCCGGCUCCGAGCGUAGUAAUUCUUCUCGCUCUGGAGGUCCGGUCGUGUGCUCGCCAGCAACCCCCAAUUUUUUUCAGGUUGACCUCGGAUCAGGUAGGGAUACCCGCUGAACUUAAGCAUAUCAAUAAGCGGAGGA